rnacentral:tRNA from 2 species
GCAGCCUUAGUUCAGUGGUAGAACACCAGCUUCCCAAGCUGGUUAUACGGGUUCGAUUCCCGCAGGCUGCUCCA